rfam:Sistotremastrum niveocremeum HHB9708 unplaced genomic scaffold SISNIscaffold_23, whole genome shotgun sequence.
GGCCGGCUAGCGUAAUGGUUAACGCGUUUGACUUCGAUCAAGAAUAUCAAAAGAUUGCAGGUUCGAGUCCUGCGUCGGUCA